UGUGGCAGAGCUUAACAAGAAAAUGAGAAAUGGCUAUAGUAAUCAGUUCUUUGUUGACUUACUAGGGAAGACGGUUGAUCAACUUUGGAGUGAUUACAAGGCUAAAUUUGGGGCAUAACUUAAGAAAUCCAAAUUAAAUCGAAAAUGAGAAACAUCAUCUAUUGCCUUUGUACCAAUAUUACAAGUAUUUGUGUUAUGGUCUUGUACUCUUGUUGAAGAUAUUGUAGUAACAAUAAUAAUAAUAUUAAUAAAAAUAAACACAAGCUAGUUUUACUACAAGUUAUUUCAUUCGCGUGACUAAUUAAGUAAGCAAUUCCAGUGCAAGCAUCCAAGUAUAUUUUUGUUGAAAUUAUUUAUGAUUUGUUAGUUAAUUUAAAUUGUUUAAUGUUAAAAAUAUUUAUUUGUGUUACGCUGAAAAUUUCGGUUUAGUAUAGAAGCAGUAAGCUCUCUUUAAAUUCUUCAAGUAUUUGGUUUAGUUUAUGAUUUCUUUUUUUCAAUUUGUAAGUAAAAACUCUGAUCUUUUGUAAACAACAUAAAUGAACAUUAUGAAAAACUUAGAUUAUUAAAUUUCUUAAGAGUUAGUAAAAUUGUGAAUUGGCCAAGUAGAAUCGUUGGUUAAAGUUUAACAGAAUGUUGAAUAAUCAAGUGAAAUUUGAUAACAAAAAUAUAAAUUGCCUUUAAAAUAUAGACGGUCGACUUUAAUUAUUUAUUCGUACUGUGUUAAAAAAAGGAAAGAGUAAAGAUGGUACUCAUCCAUUGCUAGGAAGUAGCACACUGCACAUCAUACUCAUCCCACAAAUUUCUUAGUCUAGUAGAGAAAUAGGCAGCAAUAGCUGUUGCUUCUAGUGUAUUUCGUGGAACUAAUUAUCUAUACAUAUUAUUAGAAACGGAUCUAGAAUAUAAAGAUUGCGCGCUAAUAUAUCAAUAUUAUUAUAAUUUAGGCGUUGAAAAAACUUUCAAUAACGAUUAAGGAAAAUGUCGAAUUCAAUUGACCACUAAUGACUUGAAUAAUACUAAAAAAAUGAAAUACAAAUAUAUUGAUCAUGCAUAAGCUCUAAGCUAAUACUUAAACUUUAAUUUGCUAUAAUAUGAAUUUUAAAGUCUUUAAGAUAAUAUGUAGACUUUAACUUUAUUAAAAAAUUUGAAAAACAAUUGAGUGAGGUAGCUCAAUGGUUAAAUGGGUUUAUUAUACUGGAUUGUCAUGAGUAUGAAUCUCCUAUCUAGCAAUUUUGAUGUUACAAUUAAAAUAAGCCCUUUAAAUUCGAAAAUUAUAAUAGAACAGUGAAAUGGAGUUUUAACCGGGACUGGCCCCUGGUCUCGUAUAGUGGUCGUGCGGGUGGGUGCAUUGGCUUAAAGCAAUGUCCCAAGGUGCACUUCUAAGCUCUCUAUGGGUGCACAAUUAGUUAUAUUCUAGUUUCUCAAAAGAUAUAUGCAUACAUACACAUGUUUUUUCUGAAGUGAGCAGGUACACGUGCACCCUACCUAUACAUGUGGGUUCGCCUCUGUUGAUGACUUGUAAUGACACAAAUGUCAUUUUUGGAAUUCUUCAUAAAAUUACCAUUAUACCCCUCCCGAUAUCGACCCCGGGUUAUUUAUGAUUGAAUUUUGAAUUUGGUUUCGAGUUUUGAUUUAUAAGUUGUGAAUUAUGAAAUUUUUGGAAGUUGAAAGGCUAAAGUUGUUAAAAAGGGAUUUUUGGUGUCUUUUGAAGUUUCGAGUCUCGGAAAUAGAAUUAUGUCGAUUCCAUCAGUUCCGAAAUGUGGAAAUUGGUCUAGAAGAUUUGAGGUCCUAAGUUGAAAGUUUGUGAAUUUUAGCCUUUGGGUUGAGUUUGGUCAACAUUCGGGGUUCAGAUGCUCGGAUUGAACUUUCGACAAUCUCGUUGGUAUGAGUAUUGUUAUUUUCGAAAUCUUAUUGUGAUUACUUGAUAGGAUUAGAUUGUGUGGCUUUGGACAUUGUUGGAAAAGGAAAUGCUCAAGUCUUGGAUUGACUUUUGAUUGAAUUAAAGCAACUUGUCAUGCCCCAAGUCUACACCCUAGACGUGGCCGGCACUCGAGAACUAUCAUUGAUCCCUAAACGAACCCUUGACCUGGCUAACUACUUAGCGGAAGACUUACUCAAGCAAAAUGGAAAUUUCAAAUGCAUAAUUAAACUUUAAAGUCUAAAACUCAACUCAAAGGAACAUCUGAAAAUACUUAUUAAGUUACAAUCAACUAGAAGGGGAAAUAAUCAUAGGCUCUUCAACCUCUACUACCUAUAAAGCCUCUAACACUACGAUAGAUGUCGGGAAAGAACCCAUGACAACUUAACAAAGAAAGAAAUACGUGUGAAGCCCUCCGAAAAGCAAGGAGGCUCACCAAAGCUAGCUGGAUUUCAAGUGGUAUCAACGAAGCGUCUGUUGAUGACCUUGAGCACAUGUAUCUGCAUCAUGAAAAGAUGCAAGUCGAAUGACCUCAGUACAUAGAAUGUACAAGCAUGUAAAGAGAACUGAAUGCAAUAGAUAAUUGAACUGACAAGGCUAGAAGAAAUACCCACCUCAACUCAACACAAUACAAAGCAAUAACAAAAGAUGACACGUUUAAAGCUUCAUAAAUAAAAGAUACUAACUCAAAGAUGUGUAUACAAAUAAAAUAAGUUACUCUUCACUCUUAUCGUAACACCCCGAAAACUAGUAAGCUAAACUAAAGCUAAAUGUGAGGGUUAGCGUCAAGGAAGAAGGGUUAGGGACAAGGGCAAAGGGGCAAGGGCCAAGAAUGUCCAAGCCUUGCCAAGGCACUGCCCCAUGACCACGAGGGCCUUUACGACCAGUGGUGGUCACCACGAGUCGUGGUGCCACUUGUGGAGGUGAGGCAAUAGCCUCCUUAAGGCUGCCCCAAAUUGGCUCCUCCACACGAGCCACUUCACGAAUCGUGAAGCCUUAGACGACUAGUGGGAGUGGCCUUGGUCAUGCCUUAGUGGUUGAUGAUACAACGUCUCACCCACACUGUUAGAACUACCCUAUAGCUAUGCUUUAAAGCAAAAAGGAGUCGUCUAAAAAAUACGAUCUUUUACCCAUGUUGGCUACAUGAUUUAUGAGGAAUGUGAGUUGUCUGAACUUAUCCCCAUAUCGGUGCUCAAUACUACUUCCAAUAAUAUAUAACUCAUGCUCAAAUGUAUAAAACAUAACUCUUUCUCAAUUUGAGGUAAUUACUCAAAAUAACUCUUUUAAAGAGAUAGUGAAAUAUGUCGAACUCAUAAACUCUUUCUUUAGAAAUCAAAGUUCCUCUUUCUCAAUGUAAAAGUGUUAUAUUUGGAAGUACUUAGUUUCCUUAUAUUAUUUCUCGAUUAUGAAUACAACUCUCCUCAUUACUCAUUUUUACUUUCUCAAAAAAACUUAGUUCAAAUUAUAGUAGGUUACAAAAGAUUCUCAAAACACUCAAAAAGAACUUUUUGAACUUUCCUCUUAAACUCACUUUAGAUUUUGAUUUGUAAAUUAGGACAUGUAAUUAGAACAUGAAGGAAUUCUCAAAGGUAAAAUGAGUCUUUAGUAGUUAAUAUAGAGAGGUGAAAUGUAUACACAACUUAAAGGAACCCAUGCCUGACGAAACAAGGAAGAACUGGCCCAGUGAAUUUCGGGAGUAUUGCAGACGCAGGGCGCCAGACCCAAAGUAUUGGGUUGGAUCCGGGCGCACUGCUGGCGCGCCACCUUAGGCCCCAAAGUACUGGGCUUGUUUCGAGCGCACUGUUGGCGUGGCUCCCCAACCCCUCCCCAGCGAACCCGAUGAUUUUUUUUGUUAAAUUAGGCUUCAAACUUGUUUAGAAUUGGGAGAUUUCUCCUAAACUCUUCUUAAUUCUCAAACCAACACGAUUACAUGAAAAAUUUCAUACAAUCCCUUUUAAGAAAUCACAACUCAUACUCAAGAUCCUCAACACAAGAAACUCAAAACCUCUAUGGUUAAAGAAUGAAACUAAAAUCAAGAACUACUCAAAAUUCUCUUAAUAUAACAAUUUCAUGGACGAAUCCAUGGAUGAAUUAGAUGUAUGGCGUGAGGACGAACAAGUCCAACACUAUGAGAAGCCUUACAUACCUGGAAAGAACGAUAUUCUUGCCGAAACCACAAAUCUUGAAGAACGCUUGAACUUAGCCCUUUUCUCCUCUUGAAACCUCGCUCUAAAUCCCUGAAUGUUUAGGAACGUGAAUAGGUGAUUUAGAAUCUGAUUAGACCCUUAAUUGAGUCAGGAAAAAUGUGCUAAGCCUAGUGGGAAAAGGAAAAGACCAAAAUACCCUUUCCUAAAAUGAGUGGAAUGCCUUAAAUGGUGAGGCUUACUCAAACAGCCGUAACCUUUUACUCGGAGCUCGAAAUUUAGCAAACUUGGCGGCAUUGGAAAGAGGACUCAAGACCUUCAAUUUGAUAGGUCAUGAGCCACCUAUAUCUUCAUGUGCUAAAACAUAUGAUCGUAGUUGACCCAUAACUAAAAAAUGAUGGGUGAUUUGCACAAAUUUCUAUUUAGCUUUUUCGAAGUUCGAGGUGUUACACAAGUAAACUUUUUAAAACCAUGUAAAACUUGUAGAAUCUUGUAUUUCCCUUUAUUAUGUGUGUAGGGGAGUAAUGAGAAUGAAGUAAAGAGUUCAAUUGUUCUACUUGAUUAAUCUUAAUGAAUGAAAAAUUGAUUAAUGAAAAAGGCGACGUGUUAAUAGUUGUGCUUUGUGAAUUGCCUUGUUGUAGAACCUAAUUUGUUGAUUGAAAAAGGCAACGUGUUAAUAGUUUUGACCCUGAAAAGUUUUUUCUUUUUAAAAAUGAAAAAUAAUAUUUGAUUGUGUCCAUGAAAUAAAAAUAAAAAUUAUUUUAAAAUUUUGUUUCAUUACCAAACAGAGUAAAAAAACUUUUCAGGGUCAAAAAAGUGAAAAAUGUGCAAGCGCACGUAAUUUCACUAGUGUGCAAAAUUAUUGGGGAAAACUGACCCUUUCACGUUCUCCAUUUUCUUUGAAAUCAGAGGUGGAGCAAAUACCCUCCAAAAUCCUCCAAAAUCCAACAAUGGCGAUGAGCAAAGGUAAAUACCUACCCGAAGAACUCAUUAGUGAAAUAUUCUACCGCCUCCCUGUAAAAUCCAUUGGGCGGUGUAGGUGUCUAUCAAAGCACUGGCGCAAUUUUCUCUCACACCCACAAUUCAUCAAACUUCACUUCAACCUCCACGCCCAUACACAAGAAGAGAAACUCAUUAUCGUCACUUGGCGUAGCGAACUUCAUACUAUCACGCUUAUCCACGACAUCCUCGAAGAUGAAUCCAUCGAUAGCAUUUCAACAAAGGUUAAUUUUCAGCAGCUCACACAAAACUGGAUUUCUGUAGCUGGGUCUUGUAAUGGGUUGGUCUUAGUGAUUGAUAGGGAUAAUGUUCAAUUUUUGAUCAACCCAACUACCUUAGAAUACCAUAAAUUUCCUUUUUUUGAUUGGGCUCUUCCUCCGAAAACUAGCUGUUACAUGUAUGGUUUAGGGUAUGAUAUUGUUAGUGAUGAUUAUAAGGUGGUUUCUCUUUCCUAUCGUGAUACGAAUAAUGAAUUUAUGUCUAAUACUUAUGUGGAUUUGUACUCUGUGAGAAAGGGUCAUUGGGAGACACUUGGGGUUUCUCCUUAUGAUCAUUCACUUACUGACCGUGCUUCUGGGGUUUUGGUUAAUGGGGCUUUGCAUUGGUUGGCUUGUAGAACUGUUGAAUAUUCAACUGCAAUUGCUGCUUUUGAUUUAAGUGUUGAUAAAUUCUUGGAGGUACCAGGACCUAUUGAUCUUCAGGAUAAUUGCUUUAUGUGUAAUCUUGCAACUCUUAAAGGGUGUCUUUGUAUAUCUACCAGUUUACCCCGAGACAUAAACACAGUUACAAUUUGGAUCAUGAAAGAGUAUGGGGUUAAGGAGUCUUGGACCAAAUUUGAGAUUAUAGAACCGAGUUUGGAUGAUUCUCUUAGUACACUAUUGUGUUCCAUCACUGAUGAGGAUGAUGUUUUAUUGGAAGUCGAAGAAGAAUGGGUUGUCUACAAUCUGAAAGAGAAUCGGCGUAAGGAUCUGUUGAUUGAUGUAAAUCCUGUUACGUAUGAAGCUCGAACUUUUGUGGAUAGCCUUGUCUCUCCUUACUUUGGCAACGAAACUGAGGGUUCAUGUAUUGUGUGAUGCACAAGAUGAUGUUGUAUACAGGUAUUAUAGGAACAUGUUCCUCUGUAUCAUCCACCUUUAUCGUCCAUCUCCUUUAGAUUAUUCAAAAGCCUCUGUAUUUUCUUUUAUCUAUGAUAUCUAUGCUUGCAAUUUCAACAGUAAUUUCAACAGUACUGUAUUGCUGGUUUUCUUUUUCUCAAGUUGCUAUCAUGUUAGAAAAUAUAGUCUAUGAACCAGUAGUCUAAAGUGUAAACAACAGCAUUUCAUGGAUUUACAUCAGUUUAUUGUAAUGCCACAUACUACCAGAUUCGUGCUUGCACAGGAAUUAAUCUGCUUCCUCUUAGUUCAAGCUGUUCCUUGUUCAUCUUGCACUGCCUGAAGUCUCCAGAAACAAGGCGUGCUUUUGCAUUACACUUCAUGUCUUGGUUCACUAUCAUUCUGACGUCAUAGAGAAUUGAAAAUUCACAGUUUUUGAAUUCCUUGAAUUGAAUGGGAUUGAUAGAAAUCAGUAUCUUACAACGAAAACAAUGUUUGGAUCUGGGUACUUUGUUGAGUGGAUAGAGUAUUUGGAUGUGAGAAUUUUUAAUCUUAGUAUUGCAUACAUGUAACAUUUUAAAACUGCUGGGUAGAUUCUCUAAAAUACAGGGGACAAAUUAUGUAGUGUAUCUCCUUUAGUGUAUAAUUAUCAAGAUCUAUGACAACAAAAACUCUUUAGAUCGAUAUUAGGUAGUAGUUAUUACUUAGGAAGGUAACCAUAAACAAGAAGUGGAAAACCUGUUGGUUAGCGGUUCUUAUGGUUUUAAACAUGACAUGUGAAAAUUAUAAACCAAGUGUUGUAAAAAGACGUUCUUUUUUAAAUGGACCAAAAAAAAGUAAGACAAAGUAAUUCAAACGAAUAAAGUACCAAAAUAAAAGCUUAUUCCAUUUCAUGAUGAACAUACUGAAAGAUAAAAUUAAGAUAAAAACUUAAUCAUCGAUAUGACAUACUUAACUCUAUAAAUACCAAAUUAAGUUAUUGAACUUUAAAUAAAGCAAGAAAAAUCUAUUCACCGGAUCCAGAUGACCCUUCGCCGGAAUCGGACGAAGUGCUUUCCCUAGCUCUUAAAGGAGCGAGCGCACUUCCGAUGGUUUGAUAUGGAAAUUCAAUACCACACUCCAUAAGUUGGCUUGCCAGUUUUUCAACUUUUUUAUCCGCAGCCUCCAAGGACUCACACAAGAUCUUAAGGUCAAAAAAGCUAAGUUUUUCAUUUGAAGGUUCUGUCCUCAAUGCUUGAAGUGCUUGUCCAUGUUUUCUUUCUCUUUCGAGUGAUCUCUCCAACUUGUUCAGCUUUUCAUUGAUCUCAUCAAUAUUGGCAUUUUGAUGAGCUACAAUAAUGGGGUUAGGAUCAUCAGUGUCGGGUGGAGGAUUCUCUCCGACAAAUUUAUCCACAAUUGACUCGACGGAAGGGUGUCCACAUGCGUAUACUUUGUUGCUGGGAGAAAAAGCUACAAUAGCAACAUUAGCACCGCACAAAGUAGAGAGCUCACUUGCCUUUUUAAAUAGGCCAGCACGUCUUUUUGAGAAUGUUACUUGUAAGUUGGUUUGAUUUUGUAUCCUCGCAAUUUCAAUUUUUUUGCGGCCAUUAGGUCUUCUCAUGGCUAAACUUUUGAUUUGAGAGUGUAAAAAAAUGUGAUGUUGAGUCUUUGUUUUAAAGAUGUAUUUAUAGAGAUAGAAUUAUUAUAUUAUUUGAUGAAAAAUGAACUCAAUAACAAAAAAGUAAAAAUAUUUAUGAUGAUCCCUUAUUUGGUAGGAUUUGACCCAAAUCAUAAUAUUAAUUAAAUUCUUUUUUUGUUCAUUGUAUCUUUGUCAAAAUCCGUAACUAAUGUAAUUGCAGAUGACAUAUUUUUUAGUAUAAUUUAUUUUACUGAAUCAUUGGAAAAAAAUUAUUGUGAUAUAUGUUUUAGCAAAGUUAAUAUGUAAAUUGAUGAUAGUUUCUGGGAUAAUUUUUUUUUUUUUUGAUUGUAUUUGUAUAUUUUCUAAAUUUGCUCUUAUUCAACUAUGUAUAUUUCCUAAUGUAGACAUGCUUAAUAAACAACCUUCCACUAUUAGCUUUAACAAUACGAAAAUAUUUAUUUUCUUACUCAUAUUAAUGUAUAAAAAAGUUUAAACAUCCCCCCAAGGCCUAGCUCGUGGCAAAAGGUGGAGGAUUUGUGGCUUAGGUCGCAGGUUCAAACCCCACACCAUGCAAAGCAAAGCCCGGUUUUUAAGUGGAGAAGGGUAGAGGGGCGGACCCAUUAUCCACCGAGCUUAGAAGGCUGUGAUUGGUCCAAAGGGCGGCGGGUCACAAUCAAAUUUUCCGGUUAUUAAAAAAAAAGUUUAAACACUUCAAUUUAAAAUUUCAAGUUAUUUCCGUGUGUUUUAGAGCAUUUGCAAACUCAUAAAAUAUACUUUUGUAACUUAUGACGAGUUAAAGAAUAUCGUAAUAGAAAAUUCAAAUCCUAACACAAUUAACAUGUAUAAACCUCUUUAGAAUAUUCUCAGCAAGAAGCAAAACAUGAACAAGAUUGAUCUGGACACCCAGAUCCUUAGGCUAUCCACCUUUGAUGUUCCUUGAGUAAUCACUGUUUAGGGGAGAUUCUGUUUUAGGAUUAAUUACCCCAGCCUUUUUUGAGAACAAGAAAUCAAUUAAAGCAUGAGAUUAAUUAGAUAAUCAAGGACUCGAUUCAUAAUCAGAUAGUAUUCAACUAAAUAAAAAAACACAAGACAUAAAUCAAAAACCCAAAUGUUGUUUAUAUCUAACACAGUAUCCAAAUCUGAAAUUAGCAACUACACCUACAAAUAUUCAAUACAAAGCACAAAUAUCCUCUCGUAGGAGCGGUCCUGUUAUUGUUUCCUCAGUUUUGCUGAAGUGGUGUCCCUUCGCUGUUGCGAGAUUGCAGUGGUGUUACUUCAUCGCAGGCGCGACUCUAGUGGAACAGUGAACUCUUUGCUGUUGCGUUUCUUUCCCUGCAGGUGCGAGAGGCCUGACAGUGGUCUCAGCACAACAAUUCCUCCUCUUGCUCCUUUUGAACUCCUUUCCUUACACAACAUAUUUUGCAGCUUCCCACCUAGAAUAAUCACAAAUCACUAUAUAAGUAGCCUCAUUUAAUGGUUAGAAGACAUAUAAAUAAGUGGUAAAUUCACCUUAUCACAUAUGUCGUUAAUAUCUCUUAUUUUUGUGAUCUUCUGAUUCUUUUUUAUUCAGUUUCCUUCGUAUUGUAGCAAUCUUUGUUCCUCCUUAUGUAUUUAAAGAUGAUCAAUAUAAUACACAAAUAACAACUUUUUGCAAAAUCUUUUUUUAUAAGAUAUCAAAUUCAUUUCUUUUUCAUUUAUUAGGUGGGAUAUUAGCCAAAUUUAUCAGCUCACUCAUUACAAAGCACUUUUAGAUCUCUACAACUAUUAUGAAACAGAGUUAUCAAAGGCAUAUCUGAUGUUUUUCACUAUGCAAAAGAGAGAGUAUGAAUGGAGUGAUUUCAUACUCGUUCAAUUGCAUCAAAUAAACUUAGAUUUUUUUAUUUUACCUAAGUUACUACCAUGAAGCGAUAAAAAUGAUUUCAUACCUAUACCAGUACAUUUUGAUUCCCGAUCCAGGUUGAGAAGGGUAGAGGUCAGAUCGCGACUGGAAUUGAGUGUCAUAUGAGAGAUUAUGGCAUUUGAACAGAAGAGGCAAUGGAAAUAUUUCAAGAAAUGGAUGAGAUAGCGUGGAAGGAUGUAAAUGAAGGAAUUUUAUGAUCAACUCCAAUGUCUACAGAUAUUCUCACUUGUAUUCUUAAUCUUGAUCGCAUUAAUGAUGUCACUUACAAACACAACCAAGAUGGAUACACUCAUCCUGAAAAAGUACAAUAUAUAUUACAACUCAUGAGCCGAAAGGAAGUACCUAACUUUGAAAACCUCAGGACUGACCGGAACUGUAACUAAAAGCAUCAAAAACAGAGGUGAAACUGGCACUUGCUUAGUACUAUAUUAGGUUCUUUUCACUCGUCUUUGGAAGGAAGGCCCCUCAUAAAUGCCCUAGCAACUGGCAUUAGUCCUAUAAUAUCAAUCUGUAGUUGAUCUGUGGUGCUUGUCUUGAAGCAAUCUGAAGGUAAAACUGGUAGCUAGAUUCUCUUACCUUGUCUUCACAUGCCACUUAAAUGAGAUCACUUGACUUCACAUGCCAUCCAUCAAAGCCUACUCAAAAUAUCACUAUCAUCCUUCUUUUAUCAGUUGUAACUUGUAACAGUAAAGAAAACUUAAUGUUAGAUGUAUUUCAUUAAUGUGAAGUAAGACAAACAUUAUUGUUAUAUAGUAAACCUUGCAUCUAGAAGGAAUUCAGCAACUACCGCAGGUUCAUAUUGGCUUUUUCUUGCUUUGUUUCAUAUCAGCAAACAAGUUGAUGCUGUAAUCCCAAGCUCGUGCUUCCUAGUCCAUUCUCUCCAACACCAAUACCAAUACCAACUGUUGCUCUUUAUUUUUACAUUUCAGAGCCUCCAUUUUUUUCACAUUCUAAUUACUAGUAUUUGAUGUUUGCCCAAGAAUAAAUCUGCUUCUGUGAAUAUGUUCUGGUGCUUCUAUUGAACGGAAUGUUGUGUUUGUGCAGAGGCCUGAAUCUUAUGUAUUUUAAUGCCAAGGGUGUUACCCCUUCAUUAUGAUGGUAUAAAGUUGUUACGAUUUCAAAUCUGAAGAAAUAUCAUCAUAUGAUAGGAGAGUUUUCGAACAAGAAGACUUGCAUUUGUGAUUUGUAUCUGGUGAAGUACAGAAAAUCAGUACUGCUGCAAUGUCCGGAGAGAAGUCUCCUUUUGAGCAGACCUCAUACUUGAUAUUUAGUUUGUUGACUCUGUAUAUAUCAGGCGAGUUUCUGAACAUUAGAUGAGUAGAUGAUCUCAGAGCAGCAGCAUUGCCUUUUGUAUUGCAGUACCAAAAUUUCUAACAUUCUAUGUUUCAGCUUAUCACUGUCUAAUUCUCUUCUUUCUGUUGCUGGCUGGAAAAUGUUACAGACCACUGCUGCCACUAGAGCAGGGCUUGAUCAACUUAGGGUGUGUUUGGUAUGAAGGAAUUUUCCAAUUUUCUCAUGUUUGGUUGGGUUAAAUGUUUUGAAAAAUGUUUUUCAAAUCAAUUCAUUUUCCUCAAAUUUAAGGAAAAUGACUUCCUUCAAAACUUAUGGAAAACAUUUUCCAAAACUCUUUUCAACUUCAAAUUACAAUUACUUUUUGUUGAAACAAUCAAUUUAUUUUGUUCCUACUCUCAAAUCUGCCACCAAACACUCCCCCCAAAAAAAUAAUUUUAAAGCUUGUUUUUAAAUUCAAUUUUUUUACCCCACCCUCACCCCUANNNNNNNNNNNNNNNNNNNNNNNNNNNNNNNNNNNNNNNNNNNNNNNNNNNNNNNNNNNNNNNNNNNNNNNNNNNNNNNNNNNNNNNNNNNNNNNNNNNNNNNNNNNNNNNNNNNNNNNNNNNNNNNNNNNNNNNNNNNNNNNNNNNNNNNNNNNNNNNNNNNNNNNNNNNNNNNNNNNNNNNNNNNNNNNNNNNNNNNNNNNNNNNNNNNNNNNNNNNNNNNNNNNNNNNNNNNNNNNNNNNNNNNNNNNNNNNNNNNNNNNNNNNNNNNNNNNNNNNNNNNNNNNNNNNNNNNNNNNNNNNNNNNNNNNNNNNNNNNNNNNNNNNNNNNNNNNNNNNNNNNNNNNNNNNNNNNNNNNNNNNNNNNNNNNNNNNNNNNNNNNNNNNNNNNNNNNNNNNNNNNNNNNNNNNNNNNNNNNNNNNNNNNNNNNNNNNNNNNNNNNNNNNNNNNNNNNNNNNNNNNNNNNNNNNNNNNNNNNNNNNNNNNNNNNNNNNNNNNNNNNNNNNNNNNNNNNNNNNNNNNNNNNNNNNNNNNNNNNNNNNNNNNNNNNNNNNNNNNNNNNNNNNNNNNNNNNNNNNNNNNNNNNNNNNNNNNNNNNNCUCCUACCCAGCCCCCCACACACCCACCCCUACCACCCCCCCCCAAAAAAAUAAAAUAAUUUAAGAUUGUUUUUAAAAAAUAUUUUCAAUUUCAAAAAUUAUUUUCUACUCUAAUAAAAAUAAAAUAUAUUUCUCAAAAAUAUUUUUCAUUCAUAAAUCAAACACUAAAAAACUUUUCCGGAAAAUAUUUUCUAAUCACCAACCAAACAUGAAAAAAUAAGUCAAAAAUCAACUUGUUUUCUAGGAAAACAUUUUCCAUUGAAAACAUUUUCCUUCAUACCAAACACACCCUAAAGGUGGUGCAACUGUACGAGUUAAAAAUUAACCUACAAUUGGCUACCUUGAAUCUUGUAUAGUACUAGAUGCCGGGGCAUUUUAGUUGCAAUAAAUAAUGGAAUGAUUGUUUGUCAUCAUCAAAAUGGGGGGAAAAUGCUAUGUUGAUGUUUUGAUGAUUUGACAAACUUCGGGGAUGAUGAAACUCCAGUUACCUGAAGAGUUCUUGUUGAUAGGGGGAACUGGUGAAUAAGUAUGUUAUCAUCAAAAAGGGGGAAAAUGUUUAGUUCGAAGCUGAUAUGAGAUAUUUAGUUCGAAGUUGAUAUGAAGUUUUGAUGAUUUAACAAACUUAUCGAUCUAACAAGGAAUUAAAUCCUUGUUAUUGGGACUGAUGACAGUGAAAUGAAUGAAUAAACUCAGUGUGAGGAAUAUUUGUGUGUAAUCAUCAAAAAGGGGGAAAAUAUUAUGUUCUUUGAUGUUUUGAUGAUCUCCUCACAAGUGCAGGGACUUGGUCCUCUGCAAAGUAUAAAUACUCGUCCAGUGGUCAAAGUGUUGUACAGCUGGAAAGCUGUCUGCGUUAGAAGGUUGGUGAAGCUGCAGAGUACUCCACCAAUCAGAAGCGACGAGGUUGCUUGUUCAUUGGAUAAUAACUUUUCAUGUCUAAAUAUAUCCAAGGAAAAACAAAAACUAAUUCAUUCAUUCAAAAGGAGAGAGCCAGCACGUAUUCUCAAGAACUUACUAAGAGAAGUGUGCAAGGGACCUGGUCCCUGCAAGACUGCGAUGUGAAAGGACGACACGAUAGCUGUCAGAAAAGCUGCCACUUCUGAUGUGGUAGGUGCACGUCCUUCCAGAGAGGCAAACUCUCAGCCAAUGGGUGGUCCCUAGGAGUUUGUGUUCAUUUUAAUAUAGUCUCUUCUAACAAAACAUAAACUCAAGAUUUGGGAAACAAAACUUGGGUUUUCUCUGAAAAUUCACAAGCUUGAAAAGAGAAGGCCAUCUUCAAGGAAGAACACUGCUCAUAUCAACAAGGGACCAGAUGGAGUAUUGAAGCGUCUUGUUGUACUUAGAGUUGUGUAUCUUAUGUGCUUAAAUUGUAAAUCUAUUCCUAUGUUAUAAAGGAAUUAGAUUUUUUGUUCGGUUUCUAAAAGCCUAAAUCAGUUGAGUUUAACUGGUUUAGUGGGCAGCAUUGUUUUGCUGGUUAGUCAAAUUCUAAGUCAUCUAGGAGCUAGUUGAUUUAGUGGGCGGUGUUGUAUUCGCUUAGAAAAGUCUAAGUUAUCUAGGGGUGAUAGCUUAGUGGGCAGUGUUGUAUCUGCUCUGGCUCAGCUAAGUGAUAGGAGGUAUUGCUUAGUGUGGAGAUUAGCAAGCUAAUCUCAUUUUGUAAAAAGUCCUGGCAGGCCAGGUCGUGGUUUUACUCCCUUGAGCAAGGAGGUUUCCACGUAAAGUUGCUUGUUCAAUCUUUACUUUCAGCACUUAUUUUACUGUUUGUUAUUGUAACUGUGCUGAGGACCUGGUCCCAUCGAAACAAGUGGACGCAUAUUUUUAGUUACUGUUCUUGCUGAGUUAAAGGACCUGGUCCUUGACUGAUAGGUGGACGCAUACAGUCCAACACCACCAACUCUUCAUAUUUUAUGAAAAAUAAUAUGGAUUGAUAAUUAAAUACUCAAUCACUUAUUUAAUUUAUAAAUGAAACAAAUAAACAAUCUAACUAUUUGGCCAUUUUUGAUAAAUGCAUUUUGCUUCACUAAAAUAAGAAUUACAUAAUCUUUCGGCGGGCUAAAGCGCAGUGGCUGUAACUUACUAUAAUUAAGAACAUAUAAUUAUAGGACAAUGAAAAUAAAUCAAUAAAUCAUCUUACUGUUAUAUUCAAUUAAUUAUUUUGUUACACCCACUUUUCAAAGAAUUGCUAGUCUAUAUUUAAAUAUUUUUUAAGGCAAGUCCUUGUUUGUAUUUUGGACUCAAUCGUGGUGGACUUGUUGACUUCCUUUUUUGAGUUCAAUUGUUAAUUUUUUUUAAUAUCAAACUUAUUAUAUUCUUAAAAUUAUAAAUUCGGACUUACUAUUUAUUGUAAUUCCCACAAUAAAGUAUUACUACUAGUUUAUAUGUAUUGCAUCAAUCUCUGUAGCUUAUUAUUCUUUUCGUUUAUUUUUACUUGCUCAUUAUGGACCUUAUACUCCCUUAAAAUAAUAAAUAAAGUGUGUAUAAAUAUAUAUAUUAUAAUAUUUAUAUUAAUUGAUAUAUAAUCACAAUAGAUUUGAGAAAUAAUUUGAAAAAUACAAGUAGUUAAUAUUAAGAACAAAAUAAUACUAUACUUAUCCCAAUUUAUGCAGUAUACUCUUUUUAAUCGGUUUUAAGAAAAAUAACACAACCCUAUAUUUUGUCUUGGGACGAGAGUAAUUUGUUUUACUCCAUCUGUCCAUUUCACGACCCAAUUCCUCGAGCCGUGAUGACACCUACUAUAUCCCACCAGUAGGUAAGCCAACCAAGAACCUGGAAGCCACAAGUACAGAGCCAUACUAAGAGUACAAGUCCUAGAAGUGGACCAACAUACAAAAAUAUACGCAACUACAAAGGACCUGUCAUAAGUACAAAAAACGAGCCACAAAAUAUAUGUACAGAAGGAGGCGGCAAUGAUCAUGACGCUGUGCUCACCCUCACCUCCGGAUGUUGGCUGCUACUGGCUCGAUCCUGCAUCACGAAAAUAGAUGCAGAGUGUAGUAUGAGUACCAAAACAACAGUACCCAGUAGGCAUCAUAGGGCGACUGAACUUGAAAAGUAAAGGCAAUAUGAAAAGAAGGAAUAACACAAACAGAGGUCAAGAACGAAAGUCUAAAGUAAACAAUGGAAUGCACACGAGUGUAAGAAAGAACUAACUAAAGUAAUCUAUAAGCUAACUACCCUUAAUUGGACCCCCAUAAGCCUAGAAGGUACACUCGUGCACAAAUUUAAAUAAAAACCCGAACGGACCCCCAUAAUCCCGACGAGUACACAUAAUAACUAUAACUAAAGAGAACUAUAUCUGAGAACCUAAAACAAGAGAACAUCGAACUAGAACCUCAACCCCAAUUAGUAGAAUCUGACAGUACGGAGGUUGGACCUCGAAUCGGAUGCCUACCAAAAGUACCCAAGUAACCAAUCACAAGUAUCAAGUAACUGAGGUUGGACCUCUAAUCGGAUGCUCUAUAUAAGUAUCCAAGUAACCAAUCACAAGUAUCAAGUAAUUAAGGUCGGACCUCUAACCGGAUUCUCUAUUUAAGUAUCCUAGUAACCAAUCACAAGUAUAAAGUAACUUAGGCCGAACCUCUAACCAGAUUCUUGAUAUAAGUAUCCAAGUAACCAAUCAUAAAUAUCAAGUAACUGAGGCCGGACCUCUAACCGGAUGCUCUAUAUAAGUAUCCGGGUGAUCGAGUCUGGACCUUGAACCGGAUGCUCUUUGAAAAUAUCAACGAGGUCGAGGCCGGAGCUUGGAUUCGGAUGCCUGACAAAGGUACCAAUGUGGAUGCUGAAAGAGUCCCAAUCGAUCCAUAAUCAUAAGUGUCCGUGGAACGCCGUCCACACUUAGCCAAUCAAUGUAAGUCCUUGGAACCAAAUCAUAAACCAACUUCAAAUCGCGGAGCAGAAUCCAGUGUUGCCGAUGUAACUCGUGAAGCCGUAGUAUCGUAGAAAUAAGGAUAACUAUCAUCGAAGCAAGCAUAUCGCCUAGCUAAGGCCUAAACUAUCAGACUCAAGUCUGCUACACCAGUCUACAGGGAUCUAAGCCGGCCGAGUGACGUCGGGGAAAAACUAAGGCCUAUCGGUUCCGAAUCAUGCAUUUCUAAGGCAAGCCGUAGUCAAACCUAAACUAAGACUCAAAAUGCUUCAAAUAAAAAGUAAUCAAGCAUACAAGUACUCCACAUAGCAAAGAGGGUCAAUUAAUAACACAUAUCAUGCUCACAAUUACCCAAUAAUUCCUGAAGUUGGUUGAAAACUUGAUUUCUAAAUACCUAUGCAUGAUUCAAUAACUACCCAAUCCAAAUCCCAACUUAUCAACAUGCAUUCACAUUCUUGAGCUCAAUCUAGGAGAGGGAAGUUGUAGCCUACCUUUACGCCGAUCACGUGCGCUCCAAAAUCACUUCUCUGGAGGUUUCUCUUUCUGAACGGCCUCGGGACACUGCCACACUAUCAAAAAUAGAACGACAACGUUAUUACGGUCAUUUUGACACUAAAAUUGCAAGAAACGGAGACAAACCAAUUUCGGGGUCAAAACGGAGAAAGUGGGACCCGCACUGGAAAUUCCGGAAUUAACCCCAAAAAUAGGUCCUAAUCAGUUCCCCGAUCUCAUGUCCCAAAAUGGGACACAAUUCGGCACUCGAAAACAUCACAAUAUCAACAUGCAACCAAAAUCCGGAUUUUCUCAAGAACUAGAAAUGGGACAGCAGCUGAAAUCAGUAAAUUUACUAGAAACAGGAGGCUUACAGUGAAUUCCGACGAUACCACGAUGUUCUCCUCGAAAAACCACUCCAAAUAGCCAUUAGAAUCGUCAAAUUCGGACUUAGAAUGAGGGAGAAAUCAAGUCCCAAAAUAUCCCACAAAUUGAGUUCACAAAGUAGCCAUGGCAGCAGGUGAAAGCGAGAAUUUGCGUCAAACAAAGGUCCAAAGCAGCUUCCGAGCUCACUAACGCGUUCUCCUCGAAAAAUCUCACAACCUAGCCUCUUGAAUCACCCAAUUUGGAGCUCUAUAGCUCAAGAUGUUCAACUUUGAAAUUUAGAAGAAAAGCUGAAAAUGACUGUCUUAUAGGCGAGGGUGCACCAGCGCACCAACAAAUUAUUUCUAUUUUUGAAGUUUCCGAUGGGGUGUUCGGGAUUCGUUCGGAGCCCUGUGCGCACAGAUGGACUAUGGUACGCCACGAAAUUCGACGUUCCGGACUCAAUGACGUAGUCGGAAUUUCCAUACGAGGUCAUUUUGACUGAAAGUGGGUCUUACACCCAAAUACCAUUUUUAGCCCAAUUCCACAACGGGCCUCGGGAUUAGAUCGGAAGCCUCGGGAAGCAAACGAAAGGUCAUUCUAGACCAAACUCGACAUUCCAGAACUAACCGCGCUGACAGAAUUUUUAUCCGAGCGUAUUUUCCAAGAAUGUUGACCAAAGUUAACCUUGGGUCAAAUUUCAAAGGCUAAAACGCCUAAUGGUCCAAACUAGCACCGAAAGCCUCGAUACUCGUGCCAAUCAUGCUACUAACCUAAUUUCGUCAUUCUGAAGCUGAUGAAACCAUCAGAAUUCCAUUCUGAGGUCGUUCACCUGACGUUUUGACUAAAGUCAACUAUUUAAGUUUCAAAAGCUCCAAAACAGGAAACAGGCAUAAAACCCAAACGAACGACUAGGCGACCGAACAGUUAGUGCCAUCAAGUCAUAAAUGACUUGGGGUCGCUAUAUGAAUGCUCUAAACAACGAAAAGGAGGCAUUAAUGCAAAAAUGACCUGGAGGAUCAUUACAGUCCACUAUUGAUUUUACACAAUUUUUAAGAAAUUAUAAAUAAAAAGGUAGUUUUACUAUAUCUCUCUUUCAAUAUAAUAAAUACAAUGUCUAGGGAAAUGACUAUAAUUAAUGAUAAGUGUAAAGUGUAAACUGUAAAUUAGGAAUUAAGUGUAAAAUUAUUUAUUGAUUUCAUAAAGUGGACAAGUAUGAUUGUAUAUCCCAAAAUAGUAUAGGGAAUAACUAUUGUUGAACAAAUAAAAUCUCUUUUUAAUCUUGAUAUGCAAAAAAUUGGCAAUGGGAAUGGAAAUGAUGGGGUCCUAGAAGAUAUAUUAUGAGUAUUAGCUACAUUCUACAAGAAACAUUAUUUUUUUUGGUUAAACUACAAGAAACAUUAAUUACUUGACCUACUCAUAAAGUAAUUGGAAAUUUUCAUUUUCCCACUCUAGCGGCUUUUAUAGUAUCUCCUUUUAAAUUUUCCAACUGACUUGGUCCAACUUCUCUGUUUUCACGUAUAUGAAAAAACUAUAUAAUGUCUUUUUGGGAUUGUGAGUCAUAAAUGAGAUAUAUAUGUAUAUAUAUAAUUAAGUAAUAGUACUCAUUACUCAAAUGUUAAAUAUGCAUUUGCAGGUACAUCCAAAGUUACUCUGGGGAUGUUAGGAGAGAGAUCACUGGAGUAUUAUACCACGAAGCCACUCACGUAUGGCAGUGAAAUGGGAACGGUGGGGCUCCUGGAGGAUUAAUUGUAGGAAUUGCUGAUUAUGUGAGGCUCAAAGCUGGUCUUGGGUCAAGCCACUGGGUGAAACCUGGCCUGGGCAAUCGUUGGGACCAAGGCUAUGAUGUAACUGCUCAAUUUCUUGAUUAUUGCAACAGUUUGAGAAAUGGGUUCGUGGCAGAACUUAACAAGAAAAUGAGAAAUGGCUAUAGUGAUCACUUCUUUGUUGACAUACUAGGGAAGACGGUUGAUCAACUUUGGAGUGAUUAUAAAGCUAAAUUUCGCACAUAACUUAAGAAAUCCAAAUUAAAUUGAAAAUGAGAAACAUCAUCUAUUGCCUUUGUACCAAUAUUACAAGUAUUUGUGUCAUGGUCUUGUACUCUUGUUGAAGAUAUUGUAGUAACAACAAUAAUAUUAUUACUAAUAAAAAUAAGCACAG
rnacentral:lncRNA from 1 species